rnacentral:rRNA from 1 species
UACGUAGGUGGCAAGCGUUAUCCGGAUUUACUGGGUGUAAAGGGCGUGUAGGCGGUUUUGCAAGUCAGAUGUGAAAUCUCCGGGCUUAACCCGGAAACUGCAUCUGAAACUGCAGAACUUGAGUACUGGAGAGGAUAGUGGAAUUCCUAGUGUAGCGGUAAAAUGCGUAGAUAUUAGGAGGAACACCAGUGGCGAAGGCGACUAUCUGGACAGUAACUGACGCUGAGGCGCGAAAGCGUGUGGAGCAAACAGGAUUAGAUACCCCGGUA